rnacentral:snRNA from 1 species
AUGCUGGCCUGCGAGGGGAGACACCGUCAUCACGAAGGUGGUUUUCCCAGGGAGAGGCUUAUCCGCUGCGCUCCAGGAGUGAUCGCCCUAAGAGCGAGAAAUGCAACUGCAUAAAGUGUGUUGGUGGGGGACUGCCUUCAUGUUUUCCUCUA